GCAAAGGGUGGUGGGCGUCGGCGUGUGGUGGCGGCGUGGGUGGGGGAGGGAAAAUUAGGGUUUGAGAGUGGGGGAGGUUGGGAAAAUUGAUGAUGUGGAUUUUUUUAUUUUUAUUUUUAUUUUUUUGAAUUCUUCAUGUCAUAAAUGUGUCAUCGUGUCAAUUCUGGCUGCCACUGUUUCAAUUACGGCUACCAUUGUAUCAUUUCCGGCACCGGCGUAAGAAAAAAUUGGUCACUGGACUAAUUUGAGACUAAAAAUGAAACAUUAUGGAUUUAGAAGUCAAUUUUUCAAAUCUG
rnacentral:lncRNA from 1 species